rnacentral:rRNA from 1 species
AGCGCAGGCGGGAAACUAAGCGGAUCUUAAAAGUGCGGGGCUCAACCCCGUGAUGGGGUCCGAACUGGUUUUCUUGAGUGCAGGAGAGGAAAGCGGAAUUCCCAGUGUAGCGGUGAAAUGCGUAGAUAUUGGGAAGAACACCAGUGGCGAAGGCGGCUUUCUGGACUGUAACUGACGCUGAGGCUCGAAAGCUAGGGUAGCGAACG